CCCCUGAGGAGUUUCUGUGGGAAGAUUUUCUGUUUUCCAGGUUUCCCAAGGGAAACGAAGAAAGGGAGGAGGAUAAUCAAUGACUGAACCUCUAAUAGAUGUUGGACGACGUUAAAAAAAAAAUGUAUCGGCCCUACCCUCGAGGAUUUGACAAAUUAGACUGACCAGAGUAAUAAGAGAUACAGGCAGAAGAGGAGACAUAGACACACACAGAGGAGAAGAUGAUGUGAAAAGGGAGGCAGAGAUCACAGUGGUGUGGCUACAAGCCAAGAAAUACCGAAGCCAUCAGAAGUUGGAAGAGGGGUACCAAAAAAGCCUAUGAACUUAAAAGGGA
rnacentral:lncRNA from 1 species